rnacentral:rRNA from 1 species
GGAAUAUUGGACAAUGGGGGCAACCCUGAUCCAGCAAUCCCGCGUGAGGGACGAAGGCUUUCGGGUCGUAAACCUCUUUCAGUAGGGACGAAGGGAAACUUGACGGUACCUACAAAAGAAGCACCGGCUAACUCCGUGCCAGGCGCCGCGGUAAUACGGAGGGUGCAAGCGUUGUUCGGAAUCAUUGGGCGUAAAGCGCGUGUAGGCGGUUUCGUAAGUCUGAUGUGAAAUCCCGGGGCUUAACCCCGGAAGUGCAUUGGAUACUGUGAAACUAGAGGACGAGAGAGGGAAGCGGAAUUCCUGGUGUAGGGGUGAAAUCCGUAGAUAUCAGGAGGAACGUCGGAGGCGAAGGCGGCUUCCUGGCUCGUAUCUGACGCUGAGACGCGAAAGCGUGGGUAGCAAAC